rnacentral:lncRNA from 1 species
GGGCUUGCCAAAAAGACCCUCUUAAUGCCCACAGGGCAGAAAGAACUAACUAAGAAAGAUGCAAUCUCGCUUUAGCGAUGAAAACUUCUUUGAAGCGAGAUUUUCUUUUUUUAUUUGCCAGAGUCGCGUGUGACUAUGAUUGCAUGUAACCACGAUAAAUCAGCCAACGUUGAUCUAGUAAGUUAUUGACUGAUGUAAUGCGUGACGCCACUCUUGGUCGAAGAAGUGAAAACAGCUGCUCCCAAAGAAAAAAGUACAAUGAUUAAUAAAUAAAAAAUGGAAACAUCUGAACAUUCAGGAGGAGACCAUUUCAGUAGAUAGAGAUAAGUGAAUUGUAUCACGUAGUUUUUUAUGCUCGAUUUAUCCCGUGCAUAAAACCCAGCGCAUAAACACUACGUUGCCAACACAAUAACGAACUUUGAUUUCUCUUUGCGCUCAGCUAAAUAUAAACAAUGUGGUUGAUCGCUACUGCUUUUUGUUUUUGAAUCGGAGAUGAAAGCAUCGUGUCGCCAUGAUAAGUACGACUGUUGAGCUGCAAUUUCCGGAUGUAAACAACAGGAACCCCGAACCUCAUAUACCUAGUGAGUAUAACUGAACUAAAAGUUCUACUGUAAUUACCGAACAAGAAGUGACACAAGAAAUAAAAGGAGUGAAGUAAAGUCGCAGGAAUGCGUUUGAAAAAUGUGUGGACGUCUAAUAUUGUGUCUCCAUCUGUUGUAUAACACUAGAAUUAUUUAAUGUAGACACUCUGAUGCGUGUCAAAUUCGUGUAUGGUGUAUUUGCUGUGUUAGAAGUUGUGAUGAACACGAAACUACGAAUGAAUUAAUUUCAUAUGUAUUAUAGAUCAGUAAUAUAUGUAACUUAUGUAAUCAAAUAUAGAAUCAUCAAACUUUGACAAGUAAUUUAAUAAAUGUGGUUUAA